AGUGAACGCUGGCGGUAGGCCUAACACAUGCAAGUCGAACGGCAGCACAGUAAGAGCUUGCUCUUACGGGUGGCGAGUGGCGGACGGGUGAGGAAUACAUCGGAAUCUACUUUUUCGUGGGGGAUAACGUAGGGAAACUUACGCUAAUACCGCAUACGACCUACGGGUGAAAGCAGGGGAUCUUCGGACCUUGCGCGAUUGAAUGAGCCGAUGUCGGAUUAGCUAGUUGGCGGGGUAAAGGCCCACCAAGGCGACGAUCCGUAGCUGGUCUGAGAGGAUGAUCAGCCACACUGGAACUGAGACACGGUCCAGACUCCUACGGGAGGCAGCAGUGGGGAAUAUUGGACAAUGGGCGCAAGCCUGAUCCAGCCAUACCGCGUGGGUGAAGAAGGCCUUCGGGUGGUAAAGCCCUUUUGUUGGGAAAGAAAAGCAGCAGGUUAAUACCCCGCUGUUCUGACGGUACCCAAAGAAUAAACACCGGCUAACUUCGU
rnacentral:rRNA from 1 species